GAUGAACGCUGUCUACAGGCUUAACACAUGCAAGUCGAGGGGAAACGCCGGGGAAGCUUGCUUCCCCGGGCGUCGACCGGCGCACGGGUGAGUAACGCGUAUCCAACCUGCCUCUGACUGAGGGAUAACCCGUCGAAAGUCGGCCUAAUACCUCAUGGCAUCGUCUGCGGGCAUCCAACGACGAUUAAAGAUUUCAUCGGUCAGGGAUGGGGAUGCGUCUGAUUAGCUUGUUGGCGGGGUAACGGCCCACCAAGGCUACGAUCAGUAGGGGUUCUGAGAGGAAGGUCCCCCACAUUGGAACUGGGACACGGUCCAAACUCCUACGGGAGGCAGCAGUGAGGAAUAUUGGUCAAUGGGCGGGAGCCUGAACCAGCCAAGUAGCGUGCAGGAUGACGGCCCUAUGGGUUGUAAACUGCUUUUAUGCGGGGAUAAAGUGAGGGACGUGUCCUUCAUUGCAGGUACCGCAUGAAUAAGGACCGGCUAAUUCCGUG
rnacentral:rRNA from 1 species